UGACAGGGAGGAGGAGCAGCGGCGGCGGCUGCAUACAACCAUAAAAGGGCCCGCCCGCCUCGAAACCAAGGAUGCUGCAAUACAGCUAAUAUAUGGCCCUGUUACACUCCACCGGUGGGGACUCCAACUCCCGCAAGCCCCAGCUCCCUCGGGCAAUUGUUAGGAAAUCUGGGAAUGAAAUUCCCAAACUCCUGGAGUUGAAAUCCAAAAACACUAUUAUCAUUGUAUAUUAUAUAUUACAUCUAAUAUUGCUGAUGGUGUUGCAGUCUUAUGGUUCAGACCCCGGGAGCGGCCGCUGUUAGCUCCAGCUCUUGCCAACCUAGCAGUUUGAAAACAUGCAAAUGUGAGUAGAUCAAUAGAUACCGCUCCGGCGGGAAGGUAACGGCGCUCCAUGCAGUCAUGCCGGCCACAUGACCUUGGAGGUGUCUACGGACAACGCCGGCUCUUCGGCUUAGAAAUGGAGAUGAGCACCAACCCCCAGAGUCAGACAUGACUGGACUUAACGUCAGCGUAAACCUUUACCUUUUUACCUUUAAUAUAAUACUAAUAAAUUAAAUAUAAUACUACUGACAAUAUGUAAUAAUAUAAAAUGAUACACUGUUUUAUUAUUGUAUAUUUGUAUAUUUUAAGUUGUAAUGUUUUUGAUUUUUGAGCCUCUUUGAGUCUCCGUAUGGAGAGAUAACACGGGAUAUAAAUAAAUAAAUUAUACUA